GAGGAAUAUUGGACAAUGGGUGGAAGCCUGAUCCAGCCAUCCCGCGUGAAGGACGACGGCCCUAUGGGUUGUAAACUUCUUUUGUACAGGGAUAAACCUCCCCUCGUGAGGGGAGCUGAAGGUACUGUACGAAUAAGCACCGGCUAACUCCGUGCCAGCAGCCGCGGUAAUACGGAGGGUGCAAGCGUUAUCCGGAUUUAUUGGGUUUAAAGGGUCCGUAGGCGGGCCCGUAAGUCAGUGGUGAAAUCUCGCAGCUUAACUGCGAAACUGCCAUUGAUACUGCGGGUCUUGAGUGAAUUUGAAGUGGCUGGAAUAAGUAGUGUAGCGGUGAAAUGCAUAGAUAUUACUUAGAACACCGAUUGCGAAGGCAGGUCACUAAGAUUCAACUGACGCUGAGGGACGAAAGCGUGGGGAGCGAAC
rnacentral:rRNA from 1 species